GACGAACGCUGGCGGCGUGCUUAACACAUGCAAGUCGAACGGAAAGGCCCUGCUUUUGUGGGGUGCUCGAGUGGCGAACGGGUGAGUAACACGUGAGUAACCUGCCCUUGACUUUGGGAUAACUUCAGGAAACUGGGGCUAAUACCGGAUAGGAGCUCCUGCUGCAUGGUGGGGGUUGGAAAGUUUCGGCGGUUGGGGUUGGACUCGCGGCUUAUCAGCUUGUUGGUGGGGUAGUGGCUUACCAAGGCUUUGACGGGUAGCCGGCCUGGGAGGGUGACCGGCAACAUUGGGACUGGGAUACGGCCCGGACUCCUACGGGAGGCAGCGGCGGGGAAGUUUGCACAAUGGGCGGAAGCCGGAUGCAGCAACUCCGCGUGCGGAAUGACGGCCUUCGGGUUGUAAACCGCUUUCGCCUGUGACGAAGCGUGAGUAACGGUAAUGGGUAAAGAAGCACCGGCUAACUACGU
rnacentral:rRNA from 1 species